AGACCCAAGGCAAGGAGCGCAUUGCUACCUUCUGGCUCCAACGUCGGGGAGCAUCUUGUAGGAGAGGGAAGCAAGGUCCUGUGAGCAGGACCAGCCCAGUGCUCCGGGCAUGUGGAGAGGUUCAUCCUGGCUGGGCAUCUGGAAAGGAGUCCUGGCCUGGACUUGCAAGGAAGAGGAAGACUUUAGGACCAAAGAUACUUGUCAUUUACGAAACUGAGUGACAGUGAGAAUCGAACAUAAGAAUAUCAAAUUUCAAUUGCAGAUUCACUCACUCAUGUUCAAUAAAUUCUCCCUCCUAUACCAAAGAUCCUCUGAGCAGAAGGAGCUAGCCAUCACUGGUGCUUCUGAGUCUUUGCCACACUAAGCCAGCAGGCCUAACCCUGGAGCGCAGCUCCUCAAACUUGUUCUCAUCUCCCUCUCGCUCCAAGUACCUCGGCAGCUUCAGUGUGGGCUGAGGUUGAAUUCCCUCAGUUGCAAUCUGAGGUUAUGUCGCCACAGUCAAAUUCCUAAAGAAACAGACAGUGUCCCACGAGAAGCAUCUGUUCAAGUGGUCUCUCUCCAGUGACCACUGUUGAGACUAGGUUUAGAAAAACCAUAGAUC
rnacentral:lncRNA from 1 species